rnacentral:lncRNA from 1 species
GAUAAUAGACUGGAUUGGAAAAAUGUGGCACAUAUACACCAUGGAAUAUUAUGCAGCAAUCAGAAAUGAUGAGUUUGUGUCGUUUGUAGGGACAUAGAUGAAUCUGGAGAACAUUAUCCUCAGCAAACUGACACAAGAACAGAAAAUGAAACACCGCAUAUUCUCACUUAUAGGCGGGUGAUGAAAAAUGAGAAUACAUGGACACAGAAAGGGGAGUAUUAAACACUGGGGUCUAUUGGGGGGAAAAGGGGAGGGCCAGUGGGAGGGGGAGGUGGGGAGGGAUAGCCUGGGGAGAAAUGCCAAAUGUGGGUGAAGGGGAGAAGGAAAAAAAAGAAAGAUGGCAAGAACUGCCAUUUGCAACCUAAUCUUGGGAAAUCCUCCUUCCAAGGUUUAUGGCAAUAUUCGAGCUGUGGCUAGCAGAUCAGCAGAUAGAUUCUGAUUUCAAGUCGGAGACUUUUUAUCUUGCCUUUGGACUCUGGAGAAAAAUACUUUACGAGUGGUCACAAGAAACCAUCUGAAGAAUUGCAGUCAUCUGAAGCCUCCAUCCGUUCUUCCGUUCUCAGCCAGAAGCAUAAACAGAAAAGAAAGGUUUAAGAGCAUUCACACUGAACAGGUUUUAGGAUACUUUAAAUAUCAAAAAUUGAUUCUAUUAUUACACCUACACAGUAGAUGUAAUUUAUCAUUUCCUUGAAAUCACAUGUAGCAGAUUGCAUAGUUUAUAAUCCUCUUGGAAACUCCUUGUUUAACAGCUCUAUGUAAAUUUAUACUUUUAUAAAUUCAUAACUUCAUAAACAUUUAUAAACAUUUCUUCUUUAUAAAUUGUGAUUUAAUAGAUUAUCUCAGAAAAACCUCUCUGAACAAUGACCACUCCUUAAUACUGGGUGAUGUGAAUAACUUUUUGUGGGGGGUACGGGCUGGAGUGCAGUGAUGCAAUCUUAG